AUUGAACGCUGGCGGCAUGCCUUACACAUGCAAGUCGAACGGCAGCACGGGAGCAAUCCUGGUGGCGAGUGGCGAACGGGUGAGUAAUAUAUCGGAACGUGCCCAGUCGUGGGGAUAACGUAGCGAAAGCUACGCUAAUACCGCAUACGAUCUACGGAUGAAAGCGGGGGAUCGCAAGACCUCGCGCGAUUGGAGCGGCCGAUAUCAGAUUAGGUAGUUGGUGAGGUAAAGGCUCACCAAGCCGACGAUCCGUAGCUGGUCUGAGAGGACGACCAGCCACACUGGGACUGAGACACGGCCCAGACUCCUACGGGAGGCAGCAGUGGGGAAUUUUGGACAAUGGGCGCAAGCCUGAUCCAGCAAUGCCGCGUGCAGGAUGAAGGCCUUC
rnacentral:rRNA from 1 species